rfam:Postia placenta Mad-698-R POSPLscaffold_21_Cont1479, whole genome shotgun sequence.
GGCACUAUAGCCAAGUGGUUACGGCGACAGAUUCGAAUUACGGCUGAGUUAUCUGUUCCUCUUGUAGGGCGCAGGUUCGAGUCCUGCUGGUGUCG